rnacentral:tRNA from 1 species
GCGGAUUUAGCUCAGUUGGGAGAGCGUCAGACUGAAGUAAUCUGAAGGUCCUGUGUUCGAUCCACAGAAUUCGCA